rnacentral:rRNA from 1 species
GAUGAACGCUGGCGGCGUGCUUAACACAUGCAGGUCGAACGAAGCAUUUAGGACAGAUUACUUCGGUUUGAAGUUCUUUAUGACUGAGUGGCGGACGGGUGAGUAACGCGUGGGUAACCUGCCUUGUACUGGGGGAUAGCAGCUGGAAACGGCUGGUAAUACCGCAUAAGCGCACAAUGUUGCAUGACAUGGUGUGAAAAACUCCGGUGGUAUAAGAUGGACCCGCGUCUGAUUAGCUAGUUGGUGAGAUAACAGCCCACCAAGGCGACGAUCAGUAGCCGACCUGAGAGGGUGACCGGCCACAUUGGGACUGAGACACGGCCCAGACUCCUACGGGAGGCAGCAGUGGGGAAUAUUGCACAAUGGAGGAAACUCUGAUGCAGCGACGCCGCGUGAGUGAAGAAGUAAUUCGUUAUGUAAAGCUCUAUCAGCAGGGAAGAUAGUGACGGUACCUGACUAAGAAGCUCCGGCUAAAUACGUG